rnacentral:lncRNA from 1 species
ACUGGGUCAAGGUUAAUGGAGAGAUAGUCUGGAGAGUAUUUUGAGAGUUUAGUCAUUGAGAGUGUUCUACUCAUGGAAGGAAGAGAUAGAGGUAGAGAGAUAUAAAAAGAGAGAAAGAAGACAAAGAGGUGGGAGUUAAAGCGGGGUGCAGUGAACUUGAGGUGACAGUAGAGACAAAGAGAUGGAAGAGUGUUGGAAAGUUAAA